UACGUAGGUGGCAAGCGUUGUCCGGAUUUACUGGGCGUAAAGGGCGUGCAGGCGGUCUGUUAAGUUCAGGGUGAAAGCUCCCGGCUCAACUGGGAGAGGUCCUUGGAUACUGGCAGACUUGAGGGAGGUAGAGGAGAGUGGAAUUCCCGGUGUAGUGGUGAUAUGCGUAGAUAUCGGGAGGAACACCAGUGGCGAAGGCGGUUGCCUGGAGCUUUGCUGACGCUGAGGCGCGAAAGCGUGGGGAGCGAUCCGG
rnacentral:rRNA from 1 species